rnacentral:rRNA from 1 species
GACGAACGCUGGCGGCGUGCUUAACACAUGCAAGUCGAACGGAAAGGCCCUGCUUUUGUGGGGUGCUCGAGUGGCGAACGGGUGAGUAACACGUGAGUAACCUGCCCUUUACUUUGGGAUAACUUCAGGAAACUGGGGCUAAUACCGGAUAGGAGCUCCUGCUGCAUGGUGGGGGUUGGAAAGUUUCGGCGGUUGGGGAUGGACUCGCGGCUUAUCAGCUUGUUGGUGGGGUAGUGGCUUACCAAGGCUUUGACGGGUAGCCGGCCUGAGAGGGUGACCGGCCACAUGGGGACUGAGAUACGGCCCAGACGCCUACGGGAGGCAGCAGUGGGGAAUAUGGCACAAUGGGCGGAAGCCUGAUGCAGCAACGCCGCGUGCGGGAUGACGGCCUUCGGGUGGUAAACCGCUUUCGCCUGUGACGAAGCGGGAGUGACGGUAAUGGGUAAAGAAGCACCGGCUAACUACGUG